rnacentral:rRNA from 1 species
GCGGAGGAAAAGAAAAUAACAAUGAUUUCCCUAGUAACGGCGAGUGAAGAGGAAAGAGCUCAAAGUUGGAACCUGUUUGGCUUAGCUAAACCGGAUUGUAAACUGUAGAAGUGUUUUCCAGGCACGCCAGGUAAAAAAGUCCUUUGGAACAGGGCAUCAUAGAGGGUGAGAAUCCCGUCUUUGGCCUGAGCAGUUGUCUUUUGUGAUACAUUUUCAAAGAGUCAGGUUGUUUGGGAAUGCAGCCUAAAUUGGGUGGUAAAUCUCACCUAAAGCUAAAUAUUUGCGAGAGACCGAUAGCGAACAAGUACCGUGAGGGAAAGAUGAAAAGAACUUUGAAAAGAGAGUUAAACAGUAUGUGAAAUUGUUAAAAGGGAACCGUUUGGAGCCAGACUGGCUUGACUGUAAUCAAUCUAGGCUUUCGGCCUGGAUGCACUUGCGGUCUAUGCCUGCCAACGACAAUUUUCUCUCUGGGAAAAAACUUUUAGGAAUGUGGCCCCCUUUCGGGGGGGGUGUUUAUAGCCUUUUAGAAAAUAUCAGGGAUUGGAUUGAGGAACGCAGUGAAUGCCCCCUUGGGCAAGAUUGCUGGGCGCUUUCGCUAAUAAAUGCUAGAAUUUCUGCUUUGGGGUGGUGCUAGUGUUUAGAGGAGGAACUCGCCUGGUAUAUUUUUUAUUCGCUUAGGUUGUUGGCUUAAUGACUCUAAAUGAC